rnacentral:rRNA from 1 species
UACGUAGGUGACCAGCGUUGUCCGGAUUUACUGGGCGUAAAGAGCGCGCAGGCGGUCGUUCAAGUCGAGUGUGAAAGCCCCCGGCUCAACUGGGGAGGGUCACUCGAUACUGAUCGACUUGAAGGCAGGAGAGGGAAGCGGAAUUCCCGGUGUAGUGGUGAAAUGCGUAGAUAUCGGGAGGAACACCGGUGGCGAAGGCGGUUCUCUGGGCAUUACCUGACGCUGAGGAGCGAAAGUGUGGGGAGCGAACAGG